rnacentral:ncRNA from 2 species
GCGUUCUUGUCGGAGUGCCUAGUGUGACUAUUACACAGGCUGAGACCGUUAAUUCGGGAUCCGCGGAACCUGAUCGGGUUAAUACCCGCGAAGGGAACAAGAGUAAUUUAUCG